UCCGUCCACCUAAAACUUCUCUCUCAUCUUUUAUUCCAUCCAUAAUCCUUUUCUUUCCUAACACCUAAGCCUUCAUCUUCCUUCUUCCUCUUAUCUUUCCCUUUCCCUUCUCAUCUUUCUUCUUCCUUAUCCGGCCACCAUUUUCACCCUCUUCACCUUCAUUCCCUCUCCAUUUUCGACCAUCUUUCUUAGAAUAUUUUCUUUUCCCAUUUUUUCUUCAUUUUGGUCACCGAUUUCUCUAUUGAGUUUCGUUUGGCUGUCAAUCUACUACCAAUAUUUGCUUCUAAACCCAUUUGACCGUCGGUAGUCUCCUUUAUUAAACCCCAAUUCGACCACGUACUUGGAAAGGGUACACAUUCCUUCAAUUUUUUUAGUACUGUUUUAGAAUCGAUUCCUCUUCUCUUUUGUUUCGUACAUGGCUUGUCUUCUAGACUUGCCACUCGGAUCUAUUAUGCAUCCUUCGUCUUUCCCUUGCUACUUGGAUCACGCCAUUGCUGCUCCGAUUUUUCUAUUAUGAUGAGUUAUGGAUAUUACCCGGUUGUGGCCUUGGUGGAUCCGAGUAAGGUAGAGGUUUUAACAAUUUCAUAUCUAUCAUGCGUACGCGAUGGUAGGUCACUAAUCGAAGUGCGCACGAGUACGUGUCGAGAUCUAUCUUGAGAUACUAGGUUAUCCACAUCUUCACACAUAAAAGAAUUGUUUAGGGGCAUUAGACAACAUGUUCAUCAAAGUUAACGUGUCCGUAGCUGAUUGGCCAAGAUAUCGGACCUGAAAAGGUGAAAUGGCAACGAAUGUCCUCGACGUAUGCGAUAUAAAGGGGGACUUUGUUUUUGUCUUAGCCGAUUGUGAAGGAUCCACAGCAGACGUGCGUAUCCUACGAAAUACAAUUUCUUAAUACCUAACGGUCUGAAGGUUCCAAAGGGGUUUUACUACCUGUGCGACACGGGAUACCCAAAUGCAUAGAGUUUUCUAGCGUCGUAUAGGGGGCAACACUAUCCUCUAUAGGAGUGGCAUGGUGUCGAGAACGCUUUAACAACACUGAAGAAGUUCUUCAACAUAAAACAUUCUUCUGCACGGAAUGUCAUUGAAAGAGUGUUCGACAUGUUGAAGGGAUGUUGGAUGAUACUAUUUGGGAAGUCCCACUACCCAAUUCAAGUCCAAUGUUAAACUAUUAUGGAUCGUUGUCUCCUCCAUAAUUUAAUAAAUCGAGAGAUGACAAACACGAACAUAUUGAAUGACAAAGAUGAGGGUGACUCGACACACACAACUACUAGUGGUGACAACAUCAACUACAUUGAGGCCUCAAAUGAAUGGACUCAAUGGAGGGAUACAUUUGCGGAGUUUAUGUUCAACGAAUGACAAUUGCGUGACGACUAGUAUCGUUUGUUUUAUAGUACAACCCCGUUAUUAAAACGGUUGUAGUAUGCGUAUUUUCUUGUUUCUUUGUUGUCCUCUUAUUGUGUAUACUGAGGCUUAGUUUAAAAAAACUUUGUCCUUCAUGUUUAAUCAUUGUACUACUUCGUCGGUUUAUAUGUUUAUAUGUUUUUUGUUUCGUAAAA